rnacentral:ncRNA from 1 species
CCUUAUCAAGAGCGAUGGAGGGUAUGGGCCCGAUGAAAUCCGGCAACCAGUAUUUAUACAAGGUGCUAAAUCCCACAGAACUAUGUUCUGAGAGAUGAGG